UUGCAAUGUCUCCCACGAAUGUGAAGGAGUAAUGCAAUCUCUCUAGUGGUUCUAUCUUCAUUAUAAACCGAGUUCUGAAAUCGAGCUUUGUUCCUGGCCUGCCAUAUUAAUGCUACAGCAUGCACAAAAGCAGCAGCAGUGAUGGCAUUCCUCCAUGCACGACUGCGAGCUUUACUACAGAUCCAUAGUAGUUCUCUGUCCCAGUCAAGAACUUCCCUUGAAUAGCCCAACCA
rnacentral:lncRNA from 1 species